rnacentral:rRNA from 1 species
UGACGCAGCACGCCGCGUGGAGGAUGAAAUCCCUUGGGAUGUAAACUCCUUUCGAUAGGGAAGAUAAUGACGGUACCUAUAGAAGAAGCCCCGGCUAACUUCGUGCCAGCAGCCGCGGUAAUACGAGGGGGGCAAGCGUUGUUCGGAAUUAUUGGGCGUAAAGGGUGCGUAGGCGGUUUGACAAGUCUUAUGUGAAAUCUUCGGGCUCAACCCGAAGUCUGCAUGGGAAACUGUCGGGCUUGAGUAUGGGAGAGGUGAGUGGAAUUUCCGGUGUAGCGGUGAAAUGCGUAGAUAUCGGAAGGAACACCUGUGGCGAAAGCGGCUCACUGGACCAUAACUGACGCUGAUGCACGAAAGCUAGGGGAGCAAACAGGAUUAGAUACCCUGGUAGUCCUAGCCCUAAACGAUGAUUGUUUGAUGUGGGGGGUACCCAAUCCUCCCGUGUCGAAGCUAACGCGAUAAACAAUCCGCCUGGGGAGUACGGUCGCAAGGCUGAAACUCAAUGAAACUGACGGACAGGUCCAUGACUGACGUUUUGGCGAACUACUCGCUCGGGUCUCCAAUACUCCCGGCUGCC